AACGAACGCUGGCGGCAUGCCUAACACAUGCAAGUCGAACGAGACCUUCGGGUCUAGUGGCGCACGGGUGCGUAACGCGUGGGAACCUGCCCUUAGGUUCGGAAUAACUCCCCGAAAGGGGUGCUAAUACCGGAUAAUGUCUUCGGACCAAAGAUUUAUCGCCUUUGGAUGGGCCCGCGUUGGAUUAGCUAGUUGGUAGGGUAAAAGCCUGCCAAGGCGACGAUCCAUAGCUGGUCUGAGAGGAUGAUCAGCCACACUGGGACUGAGACACGGCCCAGACUCCUACGGGAGGCAGCAGUGGGGAAUAUUGGACAAUGGGCGAAAGCCUGAUCCAGCAAUGCCGCGUGAGUGAUGAAGGCCUUAGGGUUGUAAAGCUCUUUUACCCGGGAUGAUAACGACAGUACCGGGAGAAUAAGCUCCGGCUAACUCCGUG
rnacentral:rRNA from 1 species